UACGGAGGAUGCAAGCGUUAUCCGGAAUUAUUGGGCGUAAAGGGUCCGCAGGUGGCAGUGUAAGUCUGCUGUCAAAGAAUGAGGCUUAACCUCAUCAAGGCAGUGGAAACUACACAGCUAGAGUACGGUCGGGGUAGAAGGAAUUCCUGGUGUAGCGGUGAAAUGCGUAGAGAUCAGGAAGAACACCGGUGGCGAAAGCGUUCUGCUAGACCUGUACUGACACUGAGGGACGAAAACUAGGGGAGCGAAUGGG
rnacentral:rRNA from 1 species